rnacentral:rRNA from 1 species
GAUGAACGCUAGCGGCAGGCCUAAUACAUGCAAGUCGAGCGGCAAGUCGAGGAGUAAUCUGAGACCUAGAGCGGCGCACGGGUGCGUAACGCGUAUGCAACCUACCUUAUACUGGGGGAUAGCCCGGAGAAAUCUGGAUUAAUACCCCAUGGUACAUAUUGAGGGCAUCUGAGAUAUGUUAAAGAUUUAUUGGUAUGAGAUGGGCAUGCGUCUGAUUAGCUAGUUGGCGGGGUAACGGCCCACCAAGGCGACGAUCAGUAGGGGUUCUGAGAGGAAGGUCCCCCACACGGGCACUGAGAUACGGGCCAGACGCCUACGGGAGGCAGCAGUAGGGAAUAUUGGGCAAUGGUCGGAAGACUGACCCAGCCAUGCCGCGUGCAGGAAGACGGCCCUCUGGUUGUAAACUGCUUUUAUCUGGGAAGAAAAAGGCCAUGCGUGGCAAAUUGCCGGUACCAGAUGAAUAAGCACCGGCUAACUCCGUGCCAGCAGCCGCCGUAAAAC